UACGGAGGGUGGUAGCGUUGUUCGGAAUCACUGGGCGUAAAGCGCACGCAGGCGGAUCGAUAAGUCGGGGGUGAAAGCCCGGGGCUCAACCUCGGAAUUGCCUUCGAUACUGUCGGUCUCGAGUCCGGGAGAGGUGAGUGGAAUUCCUAGUGUAGAGGUGAAAUUCGUAGAUAUUAGGAAGAACACCAGUGGCGAAGGCGGCUCACUGGCCCGGUACCGACGCUCAGGUGCGAAAGCGUGGGGAGCAAACAGG
rnacentral:rRNA from 1 species